GAGGGGGGGAUUUGUACUCGUACACCGGUGAAGGAUCAUACUUUGGGGGUGGGGGUGGAGAUUUGUACUCGUACUUGGGGGGUGGAGGCGAUUUGUACUCGUACACUGGUGAUGGAUCAUACUUGAGGGGUGGAGGUGGAGAUUUGUACUCAUACUUCGGUGGUGGAGGCGAUUUGUACUCAUACACUGGUGAUGGAUCAUACUUCAGGGGUGGAGGUGGAGAUUUGUACUCGUACUUGGGGGGUGGAGGCGAUUUGUACUCAUACACAG
rnacentral:lncRNA from 1 species